rnacentral:rRNA from 1 species
GACGAACGCUGGCGGCGUGCCUAAUACAUGCAAGUUGAGCGCUGAAGGUUGGUACUUGUACCAACUGGAUGAGCAGCGAACGGGUGAGUAACGCGUGGGGAAUCUGCCUUUGAGCGGGGGACAACAUUUGGAAACGAAUGCUAAUACCGCAUAAAAACUUUAAACACAAGUUUUAAGUUUGAAAGAUGCAAUUGCAUCACUCAAAGAUGAUCCCGCGUUGUAUUAGCUAGUUGGUGAGGUAAAGGCUCACAAAGGCGAUGAUACAUAGCCGACCUGAGAGGGUGAUAGGCCACAUUGGGACUGAGACACGGCCCAAACUCCUACGGGAGGCAGCAGUAGGGAAUCUUCGGCAAUGGACGAAAGUCUGACCGAGCAACGCCGCGUGAGUGAAGAAGGUUUUCGGAUCGUAAAACUCUGUUGGUAGAGAAGAACGUUGGUGAGAGUGGAAAGCUCAUCAAGUGACGGUAACUACCCAGAAAGGGACGGCUAACUACGUG